GUGGGGAAUUUUGGACAAUGGGCGCAAGCCUGAUCCAGCCAUUCCGCGUGCAGGAUGAAGGCCUUCGGGUUGUAAACUGCUUUUGUACGGAACGAAACGGUCCUGGCUAAUAUCCGGGGCUAAUGACGGUACCGUAAGAAUAAGCACCGGCUAACUACGUGCCAGCAGCCGCGGUAAUACGUAGGGUGCGAGCGUUAAUCGGAAUUACUGGGCGUAAAGCGUGCGCAGGCGGUGCUGUAAGACAGGCGUGAAAUCCCCGGGCUCAACCUGGGAAUUGCGCUUGUGACUGCAGCGCUGGAGUGCGGCAGAGGGGGAUGGAAUUCCGCGUGUAGCAGUGAAAUGCGUAGAUAUGCGGAGGAACACCGAUGGCGAAGGCAAUCCCCUGGGCCUGCACUGACGCUCAUGCACGAAAGCGUGGGGAGCAAACAGGAUUAGAUACCCCAGUAGUCC
rnacentral:rRNA from 1 species